UACGUAGGGUGCAAGCGUUGUCCGGAUUUAUUGGGCGUAAAGAGCUCGUAGGCGGUUCGAUAAGUCGGACGUGAAAUCUCCACGCUCAACGUGGAGGGGCCGUUCGAUACUGUCGUGACUCGAGUCCGGUAGGGGAGUGUGGAAUUCCCGGUGUAGCGGUGAAAUGCGCAGAGAUCGGGAGGAACACCCGUAGCGAAGGCGGCACUCUGGGCCGGUACUGACGCUGAGAAGCGAAAGCGUGGGAGCAAACAGG
rnacentral:rRNA from 1 species